ensembl:lncRNA
CACGAACGUAUACGUACCAGUCUGUGUUAAUGUUUCAUUCUUUAAAGAAGUGUAAUAACUUUCCUCUGUCCUCUUUCCUUUGUCUCAGCUUCUCUUUGUCUGUCCUCUGUCCUCCACAGAGCCACUGUAACAGUCAGUUUGAAGCGUUUGGUUUCUCUUCAGCUCGUCCGCCUGCUGCUGCUGGACGACGACGUCACCGUUUUAACACCAAGAGCUUGAAGACGUCUCAUCUGAAGACCCGAUGGACCCGGCGUCCCGACCAGCGCCGCCCAAAGACCACGGCUUCCCUCCUCGGCCUGACGCAAUAAGGUGCUGAGUCUGCGUUGGUGGAUCGGAGUCCCGCUUAUGUUGUUUUGCAUGUUUGAGUUUGCUUCCCUCGUAGCUUCACAUGCGGUGCUCCUUGGGUUCCCUUUUCUUUGGACAGUCCAUCAUCAUAAGCCUCAGCCCUGAUCGGUUAUUGGUUAUACUACCAUAUUUAAGUCACCGAAUGUAAUUUUAGGACUUUUUCAGACUAGAAGUUGGUUUGUCAACAUUCAGCCUUCGUAACAAUUUGCUCCCCGGAUGUUGGAUGUGAGGUCUGGUUAACGGGACCGUCCUCCAGCACCGGGUGGUCCGCUCUUCUCACGCUGCAGAGCAGCCUGUUCUCGACCAGACUUCUGUGACUUGGUCUGAUUGUUCCCACUUUUCCGUAGCGGUUAUUUAUAAGAUCCUAUGCUAUAACUAGGUUAACCUUUAAUCUGAGACCGGUUUGUUC